UGACUUUGGCGUGAGAGUGUCUUCUAAGGUCAAACACCGAUCGAAUACGGAGCAAGGCAGGACAGGACGCUUGUCCCUACAUAACCAAAACAUAUAUCAAUCCGCUGAGGAUUGCAUUUAAGGAAAGAAUAUUUCUCCAAAAUUGAAUUACUAUGAAGAUCAUAUUCUCACUUUUCAUGAUUAUACUUCUUUCUAUUAGAAUUGAAAAUGAGGGGCCAAUGAUAGUGGUAGAGGGGAAGAUCUGUGAUGUAAAGUUGUAUGACUUCUGUGAUCAGAGCUGUUUCAGGGAUUGUCCAAAGAUUUAUGGGCCAAAAGCAGCUAGUAUUUGUAAUUUUAAUCCUGAAGAGUGCAUAUGUCGUAGACAGUGUUAAGUGAUUACUACAAAAGGCAUGCUGGAUUCAAAUAAUUAAAAUAGUUAUUUUGUUUA